AGACAGAGGUGGCAAGCGUUGUUCGGAUUUACUGGGCGUAAAGAGUUCGUAGGCGGUCGAGUAAGUCAGAUGUGAAAUCCCAGGGCUUAACCCUGGAAUUGCAUUUGAAACUGCUUGACUUGAGGACAGGAGGGGGAAGUGGAAUUCCCGGUGUAGCGGUGAAAUGCGUAGAUAUCGGGAAGAACACCUGUGGCGAAGGCGGCUUCCUCGACUGUCCCUGACGCUGAGGAACGAAAGCGUGGGUAGCAAACAGGAUUAGAUACCCUAGUAGUCC
rnacentral:rRNA from 1 species